GGCUGGGUGGCUUAGUGGUUAGAGCACUGGACCGAGCUUGUUCCCAGAGGUCUUAGGUUCCAAUCCAUGUUUCAGCCA